GCAGGGGUUCUUCUUCUCUGCUGCGCCAACUUCCUCGCCUUUGCAUCUCCUCCUCGGAUCAGAUCCGAGAACUCAACGGGGGAGAUGGCGUCGAGCCAGUCGUGGCCCCGGCCGGAUUGUCCGUCGCAGGCGUGCUCUGGUUUCCUCGCCUCUUCGCCGCCUGCACACGUCGAUCCGCCGUCCUCCCGCUUCCCUGGCGACUUCCCGGCGUGCGGAGAGAGAUCGAGGACGCCAUGUCAACGAUGAGUCUUCUGCGUUGUCUAUCUGGAUCGAAGUGCAGCCAACUUAUCUGCGCGUCGCGGAGUAAGGUGAGCUCCGCGGCCUUCGUCCUCGAGCCGUGUCUUCUCAUCCCGAGGGAGAGCAUGAAAGCUCCGGCGUCGACUUCGGAUCGGAGAGUUCUAUUCGGCAUACUAAAGAGUUCUUGUUUUCUCUCCAGCGCACGGAAGUGCGACUGGGGCAAAAUCUAUCAACGAAAAGCGGCUCCGGCGGCCGAUAAAUAGGAGGAUCUGAAAUGGCUUUAGCCUUUUCCAGGUCCAUGACAAACUCCGGUUCCUGCCAUCUUUCGCAACCUAGGGGCUCUGAGCAGUACGAAAAGGAAACUGCGAAAAGCGACCGAGUUGAAUUGGGAAUUUACGAGACACAAUCAGCUGACCAAAUUAAUGUACAUGACGGUUCCUCCUCUCAUGGAUUCCCCUAUAUAGAAUUACAUCCGUCAUUGUUUGCAUGUCGAGAACUUUUUGUUCUGAGUCAGUUUUUUGUUCACGAUGACAGAAAUCCGCCGGUGUUGUUGUCUUCGGUCUCAACUGUCGCCGAUUGGCCGGCGGCAUUGGAAGCCUUAUCAACAGUUCUUGCCUCUUGGACGAUGCGGGUAAUCUCCUCAACACUCUGGGCAUGGAGGCUCUCAUCUGCACCGCUGUUGAUUGUUCUCCCAUCGUUCACAAGCUCUUUUGGCAAGUUCUUCAGAAACCAGGGGUGGUUCUUUAUUUCGGGGAUUGUGAUUCUCUUCCAGGGAUAACAGAGACAAUAGAGGCGUUAAUGAAUAAUCCAAUUUUUCUGUCAAAAUACAGGUGAGAAUUUCAACCAGAAGAUGCUUAAUCGCGACAAGCGUACCUUCAACGGGUUGUCGACGAAAAUCCGAGACAGAAGCAGCCGGCAAUCCUUGGACACGCGCACGUAAUCGGGGAUCGAGUAUUGGGCACUCAUAAUUCGCUGGUUUAUCGACAAGGUGAGUAAUUGCAGAGGUUUCGAAUUCCGUGGAACCUAUAAUAUUUGAUUAAAUCAAGGACUUACGCUUAUGGUCUUGCGGAAAUUUCGGGGGUCCUCGGGAUCCUCAAAGGGGUAUGCUCCCACCAGCAUCACGUAUAAUGUUACUCCACAGGACCAAACAUCUGCAAUCUAUAGAUUGUAGAACUUUGACCGUGAGAACCAGAGAUCAAGAGAGGCCCGGUAGAAAUCCAAUCUCUGAUACCACGGAGGUAUGCCAUG
rnacentral:lncRNA from 1 species